GGAAUAUUGGACAAUGGGGGCAACCCUGAUCCAGCCAUGCCGCGUGCAGGAAGACGGCCUUCUGGGUUGUAAACUGCUUUUAUCAGGGAAGAAUAAGCUUCUUGCGAGAGGUGAUGCCGGUACCUGAGGAAUACGCCCCGGCUAACUCCGUGCCAGCAGCCGCGGUAAUCCGGAGGGUGCGAGCGUUGUCCGGAUUUAUUGGGUUUAAAGGGUGCGUAGGCGGCCUGUUAAGUCAGUGGUGAAAGGUAUCAGCUCAACUGAUGACGUGCCAUUGAAACUGGCGGGCUUGAGUACAGACGAGGUAGGCGGAAUUUAUGGUGUAGCGGUGAAAUGCAUAGAUACCAUAAAGAACACCGAUAGCGAAGGCAGCUUACUAGGCUGAGACUGACGCUGAGGCACGAGAGCGUGGGGAGCG
rnacentral:rRNA from 1 species